AACGAACGCUGGCGGCAUGCCUAACACAUGCAAGUCGAACGAGACCUUCGGGUCUAGUGGCGCACGGGUGCGUAACGCGUGGGAACCUGCCCUUAGGUUCGGAAUAACUCUCCGAAAGGGGUGCUAAUACCGGAUAAUGUCUUCGGACCAAAGAUUUAUCGCCUUUGGAUGGGCCCGCGUUGGAUUAGCUAGUUGGUAGGGUAAAAGCCUACCAAGGCGACGAUCCAUAGCUGGUCUGAGAGGCAGAUCAGCCACACUGAGAGUGAGACACGGCCCAGACUCCUACGGGAGGCAGCAGUGGGGAAUAUUGGAAAAUGGGCGAAAGGCUGAUCCAGCAAGGCCGCGUGAGUGAUGAAGGCCUUAGGGUUGUAAAGCUCUUUUACCCGGGAUGAUAAUGACAGUACCGAGAGAAUAAGCUCCGGCUAACUCCGUG
rnacentral:rRNA from 1 species